rnacentral:rRNA from 1 species
GAUGAACGCUGGCGGCGUGCUUAACACAUGCAAGUCGAACGAAGCAUUUGCGACAGAUUUUUUCGGAAUGAAGUUGCUUAUGACUGAGUGGCGGACGGGUGAGUAACGCGUGGGUAACCUGCCUUGUACCGGGGGAUAGCAGCUGGAAACGGCUGGUAAUACCGCAUAAGCGCACAAUGUUGCAUGACAUGGUGUGAAAAACUCCGGUGGUAUAAGAUGUACCCGCGUCUGAUUAGCUAGUUGGUGAGAUAACAGCCUACCAAGGCGACGAUUAGUAGCCGACCUGAGAGGCUGCCCGGCUACAUUGGGACUGAGGCACGGCCCAGACUCCGACGGGAGGAAGCAGUAGGGAAUAAUGAAGAAUGGAGGAAACUCUGAUGCAGCGACGCCGCGUGAGUGAAGAAGUAAGUCGUUAUGUAAAGCUCUAUCAGCAGGGAAGAUAGUGACGGUACCUGACUAAGAAGCUCCGGCUAAAUACGUG